GCCUGGGUGGCUCAGUUGGUUGAGCAUCUGACUUCGGCUCAGGUCAUGAUCUCACAGCUCGUGAGUUCGAGCCCCGCGUCGGGCU
rnacentral:tRNA from 1 species